rnacentral:rRNA from 1 species
UACGUAGGGGGCAAGCGUUGUCCGGAAUCAUUGGGCGUAAAGCGCGUGUAGGCGGUUCGAUUAGUCUGCUGUGAAAGUCGGGGGCUCAACCCUCGAAUGCCGGUGGAUACUGUCGGGCUAGAGUGCGGAAGAGGCGAGUGGAAUUCUCGGUGUAGCAGUGAAAUGCGUAGAUAUCGAGAGGAACACCAGUGGCGAAGGCGAGUCCCUGGACAACUCCUGACGCUGAGGCACGAAAGCUAGGGGAGCAAACAGG